UGCAGAUUUUCUGCAUCACCAGGAUAUUGAAUUAAGAGGAUUCUUCGGGUUUCUUUCAAUUCUGUAUGCCUGCAAUAUGUUUCUAUGAAACAUGCAUGGUUUUUCUUGCUGCAAACAUUUUGCUUGGUGGACUUGCAGCAAGGUGACCAAGCCAAACCCAUCAGAAAAAAAGAGUGAGAAAGGUUAAUACAGCCUGCCACAUAGCAAUGCUGACCUGACUGGCCUGUGAGGAACCUAUCUAAGCCUUGCCUUUUAUAUGUAUCUUAUCAUUUGGGGGCUGUUGAAAUCAACGCUGGAACACAGGUUACAACCCACUCAUGUAAUGGAUCUGCUUCAGGGAUUUCCUCUUUCAUAUGGAAAAAUGUUUCCAAGAGUAACUAAAAUCUGCCGUGUGGUACACUUGGGUUUCCUAAUGUCUCUGUGGCAGUGGAACGGUUUCUAAUGUUCCAGGAGUGCUGAGGGAUAUGGAAUCAGCGAGAGACAUGUUGAGGCAACUGUAUUGGAUAGGUUUUCCCACCUGCUUGAUGGGUCUGAUGUGAACAAGGUAAUUUAAAACUCACUCUUCUCAGAUUUCCCCCUAAUCAAACGAAAAGACAUGUGUGCCGAUGGAGAUAGAGAAUGAAAUUACCUGCUCUCCAGAAAUGUCAAAACACACUUAACCGAGACUCAGCCAAAAGCAGGUAUUUUCAUUGGAUGCCUUGUCUUAUUGUAUCCAUUGCAGAUCCCAUGGCAGAAUUUCCUCUGUAUUAUUGGAUGUAAUCAUGAUGUAAAGGGACAUUAUCUGAUUCCAUCUUAAUGAACUGAGAUUGUAACUACAGGAAAAAUGGUGAGGAUGUGACUCUGUUGUUCAGUCACUGAAAAAUCAUAAAGUCUGGAUUCCUGUUCAGCCUGUGAUAUGGGCUAGGACUUUAGAGGGAAUUAUGGGAGACUGAGGAAUUAGAUGGCAUGCUUUAGGAUCUUUAAGGUGAUAUGCCAAUAGGAAUUCUUGCUGGAUUCCCAAAGAAGUCAAAAGCAUAUUGUUCCAAGCAUUUAAAGUACGAAUAAAGACCAUGAGGCCUAGUUAGUCCCA
rnacentral:lncRNA from 1 species